ensembl:lncRNA
GUUGGAGGCUGGCAGGAGAAUCCACUGAGCUGCUUGUCAUGGAGGCCCAAACCAUGUGUGAGCCGGACCAGGUGGAGGAGCCUUAAAGUAACUCCAGGCUGGCAUUCGAAGCCACUGCUAUUUUGUAUUGCUUAUUCAGUUCCUCUCUGGAGUUUCUUCAUGUUGGUAAUGUUAGUUUGCUGAUGACUUUUGACUGCUGUGGCUGGUUCUACACCUGCAGAAUCAAGCUGGCCAAUGGAAAAACUAAAACUUCCAAAUUGCUUGCCAGAGUCACCAGAUAUAUCUACUGCAAGAUGAAGAGAACCUUUUAGGUUAAAGGGCAACCUCACUUCAAUAUAUGGACCAAGAUUUUGGCAAUUCCUUUUUAAUCUCAACUUUACCACUGAAUUUCAGGGACAAGUAGGAGGGUUAGUUGAUGUGUAAAAUGUUUGACCUACCUCUGUAUUGCCCGUGGGAUAUUUCGUAACCCUGUUUUAUAAAUUGUUGCAGAUAAUUUCAUUUUUUUUAAAAUAUUGUAUUGUCAUUUACUCAUUUCAGUUGGUUCAAUAUGCGUUGGGCAAGAAACCUGGUGGAGACUGUGGUGCCAUGAGUGCAAACAAAAGGACGGUCCAGAGAAUACAACAGGCUCCUGCCUUGAGGAUCCCCAGAAGUGGUCGAGGAGUUUCAACCUCCUGUGACGGUGGAAAUUACCCGCAGUCUUUAGUGAUUUGA